rnacentral:lncRNA from 1 species
CUUCCGACCUCUCCAGUCUUGGGAACACUCUCUGGGCGUCUCAGCCUUUCUCUACCACCCUUUCUCCCCACAGACCCCCUAGAGGAGCUCAGGUUUUCGGAAAGCGCAGUUAAAAGCGGUGGUUUGCAGGAACUGGGGGGGGAUGGGGGGGGACACAAAAUCAGCAUCUCAACAGAGCGUGCCGCGGGUUACCAGGCUGGGCGCCUGACGCCGAUCGUCUCGUUGGUUGCGGUCACCGAAGGCGGCAAGAAGCGCCCGGCCGGCUCCGGGUUCCAAACCGGGAGGUCGAGGCAGGCCGCGGGAGCGCUCCGCCAGGGCGGGGCCGCGGCCCAGGAGCAGCGUGGCCGGCAGGGGGCUCUCCGCGCCGGCCUCCGCGCGAGGACGCGCCGGCAGCCGCUCGGACCGGUUUCCAGGCGCAGACUUGCAACUCUGGUCACUGGAGAAGAUGGCUGUCUGCAGGACCCUGACCGUGUGAUCAUCCUUCUGGCCAGCCUGGCCUCUUGCUCCUUAGGCUCUGGUCAUCCCAGCUGGGCCUCCACAGCUCUCCCAGAGACAGUUUUUAAAGGGCUGGGUUUGCUCAGGAGCCUCAGCAUUCUUCCACCCAGGAGAAAGGACAGCGUCAAGAGGAUCACCUCUCCGCCACCCUCACGUUAGAGGCAAACAUGGAUCAGGAGGGACAUGAAGACUCCCCCUUGGGGGUUUUACAGCAACUAUAGGGAAAGAGGCAUUUGUUUUUCAUGGAAUUUGCCAGGUUGAUGGAGCUGCUGGUGGCCAUCCUGUUCUCUACUUGAGGUCGAAGCCAACAAAGGAAAGAACUCAGAAAUGGAGAGAAUAUCCUAUCCAGACAUCAGUAAGCCCCUGGAUCCAGCCAUUCCUGAAGCUAACAUAGCCAUGGAUUCCCCUGAUUAUAUGAGCCAAAGCAUUUCUUUUUUGCUAAAAUUAUCCUGAGUUGGGUUUCUGUCAUAGAGAGGGUCCUAAUAAAGCAAUAUUUUUCUUUGGUCUUAUUUAAAAA